CGCACAUUGCGCCCUUUGGUAUUCCGAAGGGCAUGCCUGUUCGAGCGUCAUUAUCACCCCUCAAGCCCCCUGGGUUUGGCGUUGGACGGUCUGGUCCCGGCAACCGGCGACCCCUCCUAAAGACAAUGACGGCGGCCUCGUGGCACCCCCGGUACACUGAGCUUCUUAACCGAGCACGUACUGGAUUGUGGGCGCCCGAGACCCGGUCUCUCUCCCCCGGGAGAACCCCCCUUUUUUAUCAAGGUUGACCUCGGAUCAGGUAGGAAUACCCGCUGAACUUAA
rnacentral:misc_RNA from 1 species